rnacentral:rRNA from 1 species
CGUUCCCGGGCCUUGUACGCACCGCCCGUCACGUCACGAAAGUCGGUAACACCCGAAGCCGGUGGCCCAACCCCUUGUGGGAGGGAGCUGUCGAAGGUGGGACUGGCGAUUGGGACG